UACGGAGGGAGCUAGCGUUGUUCGGAAUUACUGGGCGUAAAGCGUGCGCAGGCGGUUUUGUAAGCCAGAUGUGAAAUCCCCGGGCUUAACCUGGGAAUGGCAUUUGGGACUGCAAGGCUUGAGUGCGGCAGAGGAGACUGGAAUUCCUGGUGUAGCAGUGAAAUGCGUAGAUAUCAGGAGGAACACCGGUGGUGUAGACGGCUUUCUGGACCGUAACUGACGCUGAGACACGAAAGCGUGGGUAGCAAACAGG
rnacentral:rRNA from 1 species